UAUAAGGACACAUGUGGAAACCCCCAAACUGCACAUCUAAAAGCAAGGACAACAAUGAAUGCUUCAGGAAGCCGUAUGAACGCAGCAGAUUUUGACUCAAGAUGGCAAAUGUAGGAAGGUCCUGCCUCCGCCUCCUCCCAUAGACACAUUGAAAUUACAGCUGUAUAUGGAACAAUUUCCUCUGGGGAAAAAAAAAUCUAGAAACUGGCUGAGGAACCACUUCACAUCAAGCAAGUAAGAGGGAAUUCCAUCAAGAUUUACUCAGGGGACCAUGUUUGCACUGGUUGGUGAUCUCAGUCUAUGUUCUCAUGAAUGCUUGAUCAUAAUGAUCGUAAUGACAUUUCUGGGGGAAGUCUCAGUGGAAAGAAGAUAAAUAAAGAUAAGAAAAUAUAAGGAAGUCAAGAAAUGUAUAGCUACAGACAA